UAUUGGAGCUAAAAUUUGGUGCCAUGACUUUGGGGAUUUUCGGCCAAAUCCAAAGGGUGGUUUUUUGGGUUCUUGUUUGACUUGUUAAAAGUGUUUUCAAGUGACUUUUGGAACCCCUAUGUACCCUAGUUUGGUUAGAUGUUAUUUCCCUAAAGUUUAAAUGGUUUUGGGAUGUUUUUGGGUGAAAAAGGUUCAUGGAAAAAUUUUGGGUUUUUCAUGAAUGUUCUUCAUUGUUCUUGACAUUUUUGCCAAGAACAAAAAGUUUGGUGUUUUGAUUCAAAGUUUUGAUUAAUUUCAUAAAGUAUUUGUUUUGUGUUGAUUGGUGUGAAAUAUCUAUCAUCAAAACAUUUAUAUUUUUUGAAAGGUGAUAGAAAUUGUGAUGGGUGUGUAAGACUUACACACCACAUGCAUGGUUUUAUGAUUUACACCAACCAAAAACCACUUGCAAGGCUUUAUGAAAUUGUUGAAAAAAUUUCCAAAUUUUUGUGGACUUAUCUCCACUCCCUUUCCCUCUCUAAAAAUCGGCCCUCCCUCAAUGGGAGUACUUUUGAGUCUUUUAUGCAAUUACAUAAAGUUUUGAUACUUUUGUGUAUUUGCACUUUGGCCCAAAAAGUUUACGUUUUUACGUUAAGGUCCAAAAACGCUAAAGGACAAAUUGUUUUGAUCCUUUAAUGAAGUUUUUGCAUUGAUUAAAUUUUGGGUUCUAUUGUAAUUACAUGAAGUAGUGGACUUUUGUGUCUUUACAAAGUGACCCCAAAAGUUUUGCAAUAUAGCCCAAAAGUUGAGGUUAAUUGCA
rnacentral:lncRNA from 1 species